rnacentral:sRNA from 1 species
GUUGAUGUCUAUUUGUUCUGUCUCUACCAGCUGACACGGGAGCUUUGGUGUGGGGAGUUUGUAUAAUUGAUUCCCUGUGUCUGGAAUACCUGACCCUUCCUGGAUAUGGUGUACCAUGCGCUGGACAGCCCAGAUGAUGAUUACCAUGCCCUGUUCGUGCUCUGCCUCCUCUAUGCCAUGUCUCAUAAUAAAGGCAUGGAUCCUGAAAAAUUAGAGCGAAUCCAGCUCCCUGUGCCAAAUGCGGCCGAGAAGACCACCUACAACCACCCACUGGCUGAAAGACUCAUCAGGAUCAUGAACAACGCUGCCCAGCCAGAUGGGAGGAUCCGGCUGGCGACGCUGGAGCUGAGCUGCCUGCUUCUGAAGCAGCAAGUCCUGACGAGUGCUGGCUGCAUCAUGAAGGACGUGCACCUGGCCUGCCUGGAGGGUGCGAGAGAAGAAAGUGUUCACCUUGUACGACAUUUUUAUAAGGGAGAAGACAUUUUUUUGGACAUGUUUGAAGAUGAGUACAGGAGCAUGACAAUGAAGCCUAUGAACGUGGAAUAUCUCAUGAUGGACGCCUCCAUCCUGCUGCCCCCAACAGGCACACCACUGACGGGCAUUGACUUCGUGAAGCGGCUGCCAUGUGGCGAUGUAGAGAAGACCCGGCGGGCCAUUCGGGUAUUCUUCAUGCUGCGUUCCCUAUCACUGCAAUUGCGAGGGGAGCCUGAGACACAGUUGCCGCUGACUCGGGAGGAGGACCUGAUCAAGACCGAUGAUGUCCUGGAUCUGAAUAACAGCGACUUGAUUGCAUGUACAGUGAUCACCAAGGAUGGCGGCAUGGUCCAGCGAUUCCUGGCUGUGGAUAUUUACCAGAUGAGUUUGGUGGAGCCUGAUGUGUCCAGGCUUGGCUGGGGAGUGGUCAAGUUUGCAGGCCUAUUGCAGGACAUGCAGGUGACUGGCGUGGAGGACGACAGCCGUGCCCUGAACAUCACCAUCCACAAGCCUGCGUCCAGCCCCCAUUCCAAGCCCUUCCCCAUCCUCCAGGCCACCUUCAUCUUCUCAGACCACAUCCGCUGUAUCAUCGCCAAGCAGCGCCUGGCCAAAGGCCGCAUCCAGGCAAG